UAGGGAAUCUUCGGCAAUGGACGAAAGUCUGACCGAGCAACGCCGCGUGAGUGAAGAAGGUUCUCGGAUCGUAAAACUCUGUUGUUAGAGAAGAACAAGGACGUUAGUAACUGAACGUCCCCUGACGGUACCUAACCAGAAAGCCACGGCUAACUACGUGCCAGCAGCCGCGGUAAUACGUAGGUGGCAAGCGUUGUCCGGAUUUAUUGGGUGUAAAGCGAGCGCAGGCGGUUUCUUAAGUCUGAUGUGAAAGCCCCCGGCUCAACCGGGGAGGGUCAUUGGGAACUGGGAGGCUUGGGUGCAGAAGAGGGGAGUGGAGUUCCAUGUGUAGCGGUGAAAUGCGUAGAUAUAUAGAGGAACGCCAGUGGCGAGGGCGGCUCUCUGGUCUGUAACUGGCGCUGAGGCUCGAAAGCGUGGGGAGCAAACAGG
rnacentral:rRNA from 1 species